UGGCAGCCCGUUCUGCUCCCGAAUGCCCCGGCUUAGUCAGUCUGGGAUGCGGCCCUGGACACCGGGCUUUAUGCAGCUCUGAAGUGAUCCCAGCACACAGCCCGGGUCAAGCUCAGCGCUCGGCAACCAUAGGCACCCAACAACGGGCUGCAGCCAUCAGUAACAACGGCAGCUCCAACGCCCAGAGAACUCACGGAGCAGACACACAUCAGAUGAAGACGCGGAGGCCUGAGAGCUGGGGGUCGCCCGGGGCUGCACAGCGGGUCAGAGGCCAACCCUGGGCGGAGCCAGGCCACACCCUCCCUCAAGGAUUCACAGUCUCCCCAAAGUAACCGCAACGAGGGACCCUCCCGUCACCAAACUUCCUUUCAGUCACUUCCGCUUGUACUAAUUCUGGCCCAACCGUUCAUUAUAUUUUUACAAUUCUUA
rnacentral:antisense_RNA from 1 species